GAGGUGGGUUCAGUCCUCCUCUACUGUUAUAAUGGUCUGAGGUGGGUUCAGUCCUCCUCUACUGUUAUAAUGGUCUGAGGUGGGUUCAGUCCUCCUCUACUGUUAUAAUGGUCUGAGGUGGGUUCAGUCCUCCUCUACUGUUAUAAUGGUCUGAGGUGGGUUCAGUCCUCCUCUACUGUUAUAAUGGUCUGAGGUGGGUUCAGUCCUCCUCUACUGUUAUAAUGGUCUGAGGUGGGUUCAGUCCUCCUCUACUGUUAUAAUGGUCUGAGGUGGGUUCAGUCCUCCUCUACUGUUAUAAUGGUCUGAGGUGGGUUCAGUCCUCCUCUACUGUUAUAAUGGUCUGAGGUGGGUUCAGUCCUCCUCUACUGUUAUAAUGGUCUGAGGUGGGUUCAGGGAGAGGACAUGACCUUUAGGGUUGGGAAUUCACUACUGGUCAUAAUAAUUCCACCGUGUAGCUGUGUAACAGCUCAGGUGACUUCCCGUCGAUGACGGAGUACGACUGGUAAGAGAGCAGAAAGAAGGAAAGAACAAAAAAA